rnacentral:RNase_P_RNA from 1 species
UCACGUCGUCGGGCGGCCGCGUCGGGAGCAAUCCCGCCGAGGAAAGUCCGGGCUCCACGGAACGCGGUGCCGGGUAACGCCCGGCGGUUCCGGUUUCGGCCGGGAUCAGGGACAGUGCCACAGAGAAGAGACCGCCGAUGGCGUCCUUCGGGACGGACAGGCAAGGGUGAAACGGUGCGGCAAGAGCGCACCGCGCGAUGGGCAACCAGAGCGGCACGGCAAACCCCACCGGGAGCAAGACCGAAUAGGGAUGGCGCGCGGGGCAGGCCCCGCAGGGCAGGAACCGGCCCGGCCAUCCGGGUUGGUUGCUGGAGGCGGCGGGCAACCGCCGUCCGAGAGGAAUGGUCGCCCAGGGGGCAUUCGCCCCUGGACAGAACCCGGCUUACAGACGGCGUGAUCGC